rnacentral:misc_RNA from 1 species
GAUGAAGAACGUAGCGAAAUGCGAUACUUGGUGUGAAUUGCAGAAUCCCGUGAACCAUCGAGUCUUUGAACGCAAGUUGCGCCCGAAGCCACUAGGCCGAGGGCACGCCUGCCUGGGCGUCACACGCCGUUGCCCCCCCAUCUACUCCUUCGGGAUUGCGGGGGGGCGGAUGAUGGCCUCCUGUGCGCCUAGCCGCGCGGUUGGCAUAAAUACCAAGUCCUCGGCGACGCACGCCACGACAAUCGGUGGUUGCGAAACCUCGGUUGCCCGUCGUGUGCGUUCGUCGCGCAUCGAGGGCUCGAAAAAAUGCUCGGCUCCGGCUGGGCUUUCAACGCGACCCCAGGUCAGGCGGGGUUACCCGCUGAAUUUAAGCAUAUCAAUAAGUGGAGGA